rnacentral:lncRNA from 1 species
AAUCAUAUGUGUCAUGUCAUUCAAAACAUAUUUGGUUCAUAACAAAUGGAGCAUAGAGUAAUUGGAGCAUAUCAAUAGCGUACGAGAUGUUCCGGAGCAUAUCAAUGGCAAAUAGGACAUUUUAGAACAUAUCAGUUCAUAGCAAAUGGAGCACAGAGUAAUUGGAGCAUAUCAAUAGCGUAUGAAAUGUUUCGGAGCAUAUCAAUGACAUAUGAAACAUUUCGAAGCGUAACAAUAACAAAUGAAACAGAUAGAAGGUGAAGUAGGAUUCCAAACAUAAUAUGGUCCUUCCAUUUCUGAAUGACCACCAAACAUAAUCUAGAGCAUCGCAGGCUCUAAGCACAUACCCUUUACCAUUUCUGACAAAGGUCCAAAUAAUCCAACAAACACUAGAGUACAAAAGGGUAUUGUGAACAAUAAUUUGAGACAGUAGCAGAUGAAGCAUUUCGGAGUAUAUCAAUGGCGUAUAAAAUGUUUCAGAGCAUAUCAAUGAUAUGGAACAUUUCGAAGCGUAACAAUAAUAGAUG